rnacentral:rRNA from 1 species
UACGUAGGGGGCAAGCGUUGUCCGGAUUUAUUGGGCGUAAAGAGCGUGUAGGCGGCCAUGCAGGUCCGUUGUGAAAACUCGAGGCUCAACCUCGAGACGCCGAUGGAAACCGCAUGGCUAGAGUCCGGAAGAGGAGAAUGGAAUUCCCGGUGUAGCGGUGAAAUGCGCAGAUAUCGGGAAGAACACCCGUGGCUAAGGCGGCUCUCUAGUACGGUACUGACGCUGAGACGCGAAAGCGUGGGGAGCGAACAGG